CAACCCUGGUGGCGAGUGGCGAACGGGUGAGUAAUAUAUCGGAACGUACCCGGAAAUGGGGGAUAACGUAGCGAAAGUUACGCUAAUACCGCAUAUGCCCUAAGGGGGAAAGCGGGGGAUUCGCAAGAACCUCGCGUUUUCGGAGCGGCCGAUAUCGGAUUAGCUAGUAGGUGAGGUAAAGGCUCACCUAGGCGACGAUCCGUAGCUGGUCUGAGAGGACGACCAGCCACACUGGAACUGAGACACGGUCCAGACUCCUACGGGAGGCAGCAGUGGGGAAUUUUUGGACAAUGGGCGCAAGCCUGAUCCAGCCAUGCCGCGUGAGUGAAGAAGGCCUUCGGGUUGUAAAGCUCUUUCAGCCGGAAAGAAAACGCACGGGUUAAUAACCUGUGUGGAUGACGGUACCGGAAGAAGAAGCACCGGCUAACUACGUG
rnacentral:rRNA from 1 species